GAACAGAAAGACAGCUCAUCUUGGUAGAAGUAACAGAUUCCUAUUUUCAUUAUUUGCAGAGCACAUUGCUGGUGUUUGAUUGUUUCUGCAGAUAAAGUUAUG